rnacentral:rRNA from 1 species
AGAGUUUGAUCCUGGCUCAGAUUGAACGCUGGCGGCGUGCUUAACACAUGCAAGUCGAACGUGAAAGUCCUUCGGGAUGAGUAAAGUGGCGCACGGGUGAGUAACGCGUGGAUAAUCUACCUUCAAGACGGGGAUAACGGUUGGAAACGGCCGCUAAUACCGGAUACGCUAUAUAUUAUAACGUUAUAUAGGAAAUGAUACCCUCUGCUUGCAAGCUAUUGCUUGAAGAUGAGUCCGCGUCCCAUUAGCUAGUUGGUGAGGUAAAAGCUCACCAAGGCAACGAUGGGUAGCCGUUCUAAGAGGAUGAUCGGCCACACUGGAACUGGAACACGGUCCAGACUCCUACGGGAGGCAGCAGUGGGGAAUAUUGCGCAAUGGGCGAAAGCCUGACGCAGCGACGCCGCGUGAGGGAUGAAGGUCUUCGGAUCGUAAACCUCUGUCGGAGGGGAAGAAGUGUGUCUAUUCAAAUAGGGUAGGCAUUUGACGGUACCCUCAAAGGAAGCACCGGCUAACUUCGUGCCAGCAGCCGCGGUAAUACGGAGGGUGCGAGCGUUAAUCGGAAUUACUGGGCGUAAAGCGCACGUAGGUGGUUUUGUAAGUCAGGGGUGAAAUCCCACCGCUCAACGGUGGAACAGCCUUUGAUACUGCAUCACUAGAGUAUCGGAGAGGGUGGCGGAAUUCCAGGUGUAGGAGUGAAAUCCGUAGAUAUCUGGAGGAACACCGGUGGCGAAGGCGGCCACCUGGACGAAAACUGACACUGAGGUGCGAAAGCAUGGGGAGCAAACAGGAUUAGAUACCCUGGUAGUCCAUGCUGUAAA